rnacentral:rRNA from 1 species
AGUGAACGCUGGCGGUAGGCCUAACACAUGCAAGUCGAACGGCAGCACAGUAAGAGCUUGCUCUUACGGGUGGCGAGUGGCGGACGGGUGAGGAAUACAUCGGAAUCUACUUUUUCGUGGGGGAUCACGUAGGGAAACUUACGCUAAUACCGCAUACGACCUACGGGUGAAAGCAGGGGAUCUUCGGACCUUGCGCGAUUGAAUGAGCCGAUGUCGGAUUAGCUAGUUGGCGGGGUAAAGGCCCACCAAGGCGACGAUCCGUAGCUGGUCUGAGAGGAUGAUCAGCCACACUGGAACUGAGACACGGUCCAGACUCCUACGGGAGGCAGCAGUGGGGAAUAUUGGACAAUGGGCGCAAGCCUGAUCCAGCCAUGCCGCGUGGGUGAAGAAGGCCUUCGGGUUGUAAAGCCCUUUUGUUGGGAAAGAAAAGCAGCAGGUUAAUACCCCGCUGUUCUGACGGUACCCAAAGAAUAAGCACCGGCUAACUUCGUG